rnacentral:rRNA from 1 species
UACGUAGGGCGCAAGCGUUGUCCGGAAUUAUUGGGCGUAAAGAGCUCGUAGGCGGUUUGUCGCGUCUGCUGUGAAAACCUAAGGCUCAACCUUGGGCUUGCAGUGGGUACGGGCAGACUAGAGUGCGGUAGGGGUGACUGGAAUUCCUGGUGUAGCGGUGGAAUGCGCAGAUAUCAGGAGGAACACCGAUGGCGAAGGCAGGUCACUGGGCCGCGAACUGACGCUGAGGAAGCGAAAGGCGUGGGGAGCAAACAGG